rnacentral:rRNA from 1 species
CCCUUAGAUGUUCUGGGCCGCACGCGCGCUACACUGACAGAGCCAGCGAGUUUUUUUCCUUGGCCGGAAGGUCUGGGUAAUCUUGUGAAACUCUGUCGUGCUGGGGAUAGAGCAUUGCAAUUAUUGCUCUUCAACGAGGAAUACCUAGUAAGCGUGAGUCAUCAGCUCGCGUUGAUUACGUCCCUGCCCUUUGCACACACCGCCCGUCGCUACUACCGAUUGAAUGGCUUAGUGAGGUCUUGGGAUUGGCUUCGAGGAACCGGCAACGGUACCUUGUUGCUGAGAACUUGAUCAAACUUGGUCAUUUAGAGGAAGUAAAAGUCGUAACA